rnacentral:rRNA from 1 species
UAGUAGCGCGCUCAAGACCCGAAGCGGAGUGAUCUAGCCAUGGGCAGGUUGAAGCGGCUGUAAGAGGUCGUGGAGGACCGAACCCACCAGGGUUGAAAACCUGGGGGAUGACCUGUGGUUAGGGGUGAAAGGCCAAUCAAACUCCGUGAUAGCUGGUUCUCCCCGAAAUGCAUUUAGGUGCAGCGUCGUGUGUUUCUUGCCGGAGGUAGAGCACUGGAUAGGCGAUGGGCCCUACCGGGUUACUGACCUUAGCCAAACUCCGAAUGCCGGUAAGUGAGAGCGCGGCAGUGAGACUGUGGGGGAUAAGCUCCAUGGUCGAGAGGGAAACAGCCCAGAGCAUCGACUAAGGCCCCUAAGCGUACGCUAAGUGGGAAAGGAUGUGGAGUCGCAGAGACAACCAGGAGGUUGGCUUAGAAGCAGCCACCCUUGAAAGAGUGCGUAAUAGCUCACUGGUCAAGUGAUUCCGCGCCGACAAUGUAGCGGGGCUCAAGCGUACCGCCGAAGUCGUGUCAUUCGUACAUAUAGCCUCAACGGGCGUGCGGAUGGGUAGGGGAGCGUCGUGUGCCGGGUGAAGCCUCCGUGGAAGCGAGGGGUGGACGGUUCACGAGUGAGAAUGCAGGCAUGAGUAGCGAUACACACGUGGGAAACGUGUGCGCCGAUUGACUAAGGGUUCCUGGGUCAAGCUGAUCUGCCCAGGGUAAGUCGGGACCUAAGGCGAGGCCGACAGGCGUAGUCGAUGGACAACCGGUUGAUAUUCCGGUACCCGCUUUGAAACGCCCAGUGUUGAAUCCAUUAAUGCUAAGACCGUGAAGCCGUUCCGGACCCUUCGGGGAAUGGAAAGUGGUGGAGCCGUUGACCCGAGGUGGUAGUAGGCAAGCGAUGGGGUGACGCAGGAAGGUAGUCCAGCCCGGGCGGUGGUUGUCCCGGGGUAAGGGUGUAGGACGCACGGUAGGCAAAUCCGUCGUGCAUAUAGUCUGAGACCUGAUGCCGAGCCGAUUGUGGUGAAGUGGAUGAUCCUAUGCUGUCGAGAAAAGCCUCUAGCGAGUUUCAUGGCGGCCCGUACCCUAAACCGACUCAGGUAGUCAGGUAGAGAAUACCGAGGCGUUCGGGUGAACUAUGGUUAAGGAACUCGGCAAAAUGCCCCCGUAACUUCGGGAGAAGGGGGGCCAUUUCUGGUGAUCAUCUUUACGGUGUGAGCUGGGGGUGGCCGCAGAGACCAGCGAGAAGCGACUGUUUACUAAAAACACAGGUCCGUGCGAAGCCGUAAGGCGAUGUAUACGGACUGACGCCUGCCCGGUGCUGGAACGUUAAGGGGACCGGUUAGUCACAUUUCGGUGUGGCGAAGCUGAGAACUUAAGCGCCAGUAAACGGCGGUGGUAACUAUAACCAUCCUAAGGUAGCGAAAUUCCUUGUCGGGUAAGUUCCGACCUGCACGAAUGGCGUAACGACUUCUCGACUGUCUCAACCAUAGGCCCGGUGAAAUUGCACUACGAGUAAAGAUGCUCGUUUCGCGCAGCAGGACGGAAAGACCCCGGGACCUUUACUACAGUUUGAUAUUGGUGUUCGGUUCGGCUUGUGUAGGAUAGGUGGGAGACUUUGAAGCUUGGACGCCAGUUCAGGUGGAGUCGUCGUUGAAAUACCACUCUGGUCGUGCUGGAUGUCUAACCUGGGUCCGUGAUCCGGAUCAGGGACAGUGUCUGAUGGGUAGUUUAACUGGGGCGGUUGCCUCCUAAAGAGUAACGGAGGCGCCCAAAGGUUCCCUCAGCCUGGUUGGUAAUCAGGUGUUGAGUGUAAGUGCACAAGGGAGCUUGACUGUGAGACCGACGGGUCGAGCAGGGACGAAAGUCGGGACUAGUGAUCCGGCGGUGGCUUGUGGAAGCGCCGUCGCUCAACGGAUAAAAGGUACCCCGGGGAUAACAGGCUGAUCUUCCCCAAGAGUCCAUAUCGACGGGAUGGUUUGGCACCUCGAUGUCGGCUCGUCGCAUCCUGGGGCUGGAGUCGGUCCCAAGGGUUGGGCUGUUCGCCCAUUAAAGCGGUACGCGAGCUGGGUUUAGAACGUCGUGAGACAGUUCGGUCCCUAUCCGCUGCGCGCGCAGGAGUCUUGAGAAGGGCUGUCCCUAGUACGAGAGGACCGGGACGGACGAACCUCUGGUGUGCCAGUUGUCCUGCCAAGGGCAUGGCUGGUUGGCUACGUUCGGGAGGGAUAACCGCUGAAAGCAUCUAAGCGGGAAGCCUGCUUCGAGAUGAGGACUCCCACCCACUUGAUGGGGUAAGGCUCCCAGUAGACGACUGGGUUGAUAGGCCGGAUAUGGAAGCACCGUGAGGUGUGGAGUUGACCGGUACUAAUAGGCCGAGGGCUUGUCCUC